CGAGGUUGAUAGGUCAGAGGUGUAAGUAUGGCAACAUAUUUAGCUGACUGAUACUAAUAGGUCGAGGGCUUGACCAA
rnacentral:rRNA from 1 species